rnacentral:rRNA from 1 species
AUUGAACGCUGGCGGCGUGCUUAACACAUGCAAGUCGAUCGGUAACAGGUGUAGCAAUACAUGCUGACGAGAGGCGGACGGGUGAGUAAUGCUUGGGAAUCUGCCUAUUAGUGGGGGACAACCCGGGGAAACUCGGGCUAAUACCGCAUACGCUCUACGGAGGAAAGCCGGGGACCGCAAGGCCUGGCGCUAAUAGAUGAGCCCAAGUCGGAUUAGCUAGUUGGUAGGGUAACGGCCUACCAAGGCGACAAUCCGUAGCUGGUCUGAGAGGACGACCAGCCACACCGGAACCGAGACACGGUCCGGACUCCUACGGGAGGCAGCAGUGGGGAAUAUUGGACAAUGGGGGCAACCCUGAUCCAGCGACGCCGCGUGGGUGAAGAAGGCCUGCGGGUUGUAAAGCCCUUUCGGUGGGGAAGAAAAGUCUCGACCUAAUACGUCGGGACCUUGACGUAACCCACUAAAGAAGCACCGGCUAACUCUGUGCCAGCAG